GAAAAGGAAAGAAAAGAAAGAAGGAAGAAAGGAAGGAGGAAGAAGGGAAAUCGGGGAGGGAGGAGAAGAAGAAGGAGAGGGAGGAUCGGCAUUCGUGGCAGGCCGUCUGGGGCGACGGAGUUGGCCGACGAAGUAGCUAGCGUCGGCGAGCAAGGCGGCAACAAACAAUGGCGGCAUCGGUAGCAGAAAAAAAAAAGAGCGAAAGGCAUCGGCUGUCAACAUCAUUUGAGCCGUUUCCGGUGGCCGAGUCGGGUGGCGAUCGAAUCACUCGAGUGUGGGCUUCCUUUUGGGAGCAGCAGCGACGCAAAUGGUGGUCGGAGUUGGAAGUUCGCGGUGGAAAGAGAAAUUGGAGGGCAGCUGGAGUUUUUGGGCUUUUCCGGCGUGUUCCUGAGAGCUUUGGCUGAUCGGAGGACAUAUUUGGACUCUCCUCAGCUUAAGCUUUCCAAUGGCACCGGUUUUGCAGCGAUCGGACUCCAUUUGAAAAUCGACGGCCGAGAUCGUCCGUAAAUUUCUCUGGAUGAUCAGGGGUCGGAUUGGAAGAAUAGUGUUGGAAUCGUCGUCAGCGCGCUGUCUCGAGUCUAUAGGCGCAUUCGGAUCGUCGAUCGGACUCUAGCAGCUGGAGGCGAGUCGACCGAGUGAUCAUGCAUCUCGAUAAUCCAUCAGUUCGGCUCGCUCCACCGGAGUCAUCGGAGCAGAGCUAGGAGGUCGUCAAAGCUGUGAUUGUUAGUCUUUCCAUAGUUUUUAUUUAGCAGUCCGACUCCUUCAUCAUCGAGUUGAUGUAAUUGAUUUUGGUAUUUUUGAAUUAUAAAAUUUUAGAUUCUUCGCAGUAGAAAUCUUAGACUUAUCAAUUUGUAAUUUUAUAUAAAUUCAAGUCUUGCCUAAUUAUACAGGUGGACCGAAUUUAAUUUAUAGUACCCGUUAGUAUAAAAUUAAUUGUGAAAAAAAUGCUUUAGUUUGA